UACGUAGGGGGCGAGCGUUGUCCGGAUUUAUUGGGCGUAAAGAGCUCGUAGGCGGUUCGAUAAGUCGGACGUGAAAUCUCCACGCUCAACGUGGAGGGGCCGUUCGAUACUGUCGUGACUCGAGUCCGGUAGGGGAGUGUGGAAUUCCCGGUGUAGCGGUGAAAUGCGCAGAUAUCAGGAGGAACACCGAUGGCGAAGGCAGCACUCUGGGACGGUACUGACGCUGAGACGCGAAAGCGUGGGGAGCAAACAGG
rnacentral:rRNA from 1 species